rnacentral:rRNA from 1 species
UACAGAGGGGGCAAGCGUUGUUCGGAAUUACUGGGCGUAAAGAGCGUGUAGGCGGCUUGGUAGGUCCGCUGUGAAAACUCGAGGCUCAACCUCGAGAUGUCGGCGGAAACCACUUGGCUAGAGUCCGGAAGAGGAGAGUGGAAUUCCCGGUGUAGCGGUGAAAUGCGCAGAUAUCGGGAAGAACACCUAUGGCGAAGGCAGCUCUCUGGGACGGUACUGACGCUGAGACGCGAAAGCGUGGGGAGCGAACAGG